ACUCCUACGGGAGGCAGCAGUGGGGAAUAUUGGACAAUGGGCGAAAGCCUGAUCCAGCCAUGCCGCGUGUGUGAAGAAGGUCUUCGGAUUGUAAAGCACUUUAAGUUGGGAGGAAGGGCAGUAAGUUAAUACCUUGCUGUUUUGACGUUACCGACAGAAUAAGCACCGGCUAACUCUGUGCCAGCAGCCGCGGUAAUACAGAGGGGUGCAAGCGUUAAUCGGAAUUACUGGGCAUAAAGCGCGCGUAGGUGGUUUUGUUAAGUUGGAUGUGAAAGCCCCGGGGCUCAACCUGGGAACUGCAUCCAAAACUGGCAAGCUAGAGUACGGUAGAGGGUGGUGGAAUUUCCUGUGUAGCGGUGAAAUGCGUAGAUAUAGGAAGGAACACCAGUGGCGAAGGCGGCCCCCUGGACAAAGACUGACGCUCAGAUGCGAAAGCGUGGGGAGCAAACAGGAUUAGAUA
rnacentral:rRNA from 1 species